rnacentral:rRNA from 1 species
UACGAAGGGGGCUAGCGUUGCUCGGAAUUACUGGGCGUAAAGCGCACGUAGGCGGCUUUCUAAGUCGGGGGUGAAAUCCUGGAGCUCAACUCCAGAACUGCCUUCGAUACUGGAGAGCUUGAGUCCGGGAGAGGUGAGUGGAACUGCGAGUGUAGAGGUGAAAUUCGUAGAUAUUCGCAAGAACACCAGUGGCGAAGGCGGCUCACUGGCCC